CCCCAAACUCAACUCACGCCCGCUGCCGUCCGCUUACUCCUCCGACGAGCCGCCGCUUUCGUGAGCUGCCAGCGUUCGUGAGCCGCCGCUGAACUCCUCCGACGAGAUCAGGCCUCCUCAAUCUCUCCCCAAAUCCGCUGCCAGCGUUCGUGAGCCGCCGCUUUCUCCUCCGACGACAUCAGCCCUCCUUCGGCGAGACUCGUUGCCGCCGUUCCCCCAAAGACACCAUCACCGAGGGAUUUUUCUCGACGAGGCUAUAAGCUAAGACCGCGAUCUCAUUGAGGGUUUGUUGGGUAGUGUGCUCGAGGUGGCAUAGUGAAAAAUUGAUUCUACAAGGGAUGUUGGAAUCUUUGAUCUCAUAAACGUGUUAUUGUUGUUGAUUGUGUUGAGGGGAAUAAAUGAGUUUUUGUUGCUGUGAUUUGUGUAAUAAAACAGGGAGGAGGAGAAUAAUGUGAUUUUAGAAUUAUAAAGAUGACGAUGAAGGGAGAAGCCACAGAUGAUGAGCUUUAGAUAUGAGUGUGUUUUGAAUUUCUGAAUAGUACUCAUUAUGUACGUAAGAGCUCAUUGCUCUUUUGAUGGAAAUAUUUAGAUUAUAUUC